rnacentral:lncRNA from 1 species
GGUCUUUGGGUAAUUUAAGGGUUAUUAAAUCAUUUAGGAAGGUUUUUAAUACUAUUUAUUAGAUGUUUCAGUGUGAAAAUGGGUUGAAAAAUCAUUUUUCAACUUAAAAAACCCCACCUUAUUUUUUCAACCACCACAACGAUGAUCAUAUUCUAAGUUGGCGCCUAGCAGGCAAUGAGUUGUAUGUUUCUUUUUAUUUUUUUAAAAAUAAAGGGAGGACGACUGGUCGCCUACCUUUUAUAAAAGUAUGUUCCAGGUAAGCUAGUCCUUUUUUGUUUUGUUUUUGUUUUUGUUUUUUUAAUUUCAUUCCUCGAAUUAGGUUUUUGUUGGAGUUUUUAAUUGUUUUUUUUAAUUUUAUCUUUCAAUAUUUGGUUGAUAUUAGAUUUGUCUUCAUAUUUGUUUUAAAAAAUAUAAUUAAAUUAAAAAAAAGAUAUAAUUAAAUUUAGUGAAGUACAUGACUCGAGUUGACUUGAGUUAAUCUAAUAUAUCCAUAUUUUAUUGUUUUUUAAAAAUAUCAUCUUGAGAUUUUUUUUAAACCAAACCACGGUUUCAUAUCUUGUCAAUAUUGCCUUUUCACCAGUGCAUCUAUAUCUUUUUUUUUUAUUUGAUUUUUUUUGUUUUUAAACUUGUCAAGUCAGCUGGGUCAUAUCGAGACAAUUCUCACACGAUUUAGUUCGGAACCCAUGCUAGGUAAAGAGUGAGUUUAUAAGUUUGGCUUAUUUCGUAAUGCCAAAAAAAUUCCUGACCACUUGGAUUUAUUUAUUUAUGUUCAAGAAAAGUUUUCUCUUGCUCGUAUUGUGUAGCAUGACCAGUUAUCUAGCAACCAACUAAAUAGGAUUUGUAAGUAAAAUAUUUUUUAAAUAACAUAUAAAUAUUCAUUUAUAAUAAUAAUAAUAAUAAUAAGAAGUUAUUCCAAUGUUAAACAAGUCUCAUAGCAUAGUAAGUUUAAAAAAUUAAUAAAUAUUAAUGCAUGGAAAGAGCUAUUAAUUAUUUUAUAAUCAAUACUUGAUAAAAAAAACAUAUAAAAAACAUUAAUUUUUGUUGGAUUAUUAAAUUUAAUUAUCUUAAAAACCAUAACCACAUCUGAGACCAAUUAUUAGGUUAUUAGUGGCUAAUGAGCUCGGGGUUCAUAUAUUAUUAAUUUUGUUUUAUGCAUUUCCCUCAUCUUUAAAUAUUGUAUUUCAACACUUAUACUAUUGGUCUGUCUACAUUAAUGUUAGUCCCUCAAACACUGACAAUUAUCAUUCGACUGCUAAAUUUGAAAUAUUAUUUGCAACAUGCUCUUUUGAAAUCAUAAAAAAAGAAAUACAUAAAUAAUUAAAAUAUUUAAAAAACAAAUAUAAGAGGAGAGUUGGCUUAACUUGAUAAAAGAUUGUAAAAGAGAAAUGCCAAUCAAACACUAUAAAUGAGAAAUUGUCAGGUAGCCUUAGUAUAUUAUUACAUCAUUCAUAUACUACUAUACUAGACUAAUAAAUACAAGACACGUAUAUAAAAUAUAAUAAUCUCCUUGAGAUCUCAAGAAAAGUUGACUAUAUCCAUUUCUUCUUAUUCUUUGACUUUAUCUGUUCAUUUGAUAGAUUCAUGGGUAUCACUUCGAGACAAAGCCAAGUAAUGUCGAUUGAGGUUUGGAGUUACAUAAAAGUAUAUGCUUCGAACCGCGGUCGGUUGGAUGGUCUGAAAAGACUAGGAAAGAAAACACGAACGCGAAAAACGGCCGACUUUUUUUGUUUUUUUAGUACAGCCACAAAAGAACAUCAAAGAUAUAAUGGUAGAAAAAAAAAAAAACUUUUUCCAGCCAAUUAAGCCAGCGCAAACAGCUAGGAGACUGGCCCUUCAAAAUGCUUGUGCAAUGCAUUUUGUUUCUCUCCAGCCAUGCACAAAUUUCACCUUCUUCUCCUAAAUAAUGAACAUUCUUGCCUAGUCAAUAGAUUUAGCAUGCAAAUCCUUGGAGUUAAUUUGAGUGCAAGGUUAUGGUUGCUUUUCAAAAUACUUUUUACUUGAAAAUAUAUCAAAAUAAUAUUUCACUAAUAUCUUUUUUUAUUUCUCUUUCCUCCUAGAAAGCCAUGCGUGAUCCUCCACUUUCUUAUAUUAGCCUUUCAAGUAUUUUUUCUUUUGAUUUUGUUCUUGAUUUUUUAUAUAUAUAUAGUUUUGUUUUAAUUCAUUUAUCAAUUUUUUUUUUGUUUUUAAUUGUAUCCUCUUUUAAUUUCUUUACAUAUCAAAUUAUAUCCUUAUUCUUUUGAUUUUGUCCUUUUUAUUUGAGAUAGUUUUUUAUUUUUCAAUUUUACCUCUUCAUUUUUUUUAUUUUUUCAUAUUUGAUACUGAAUCUUUUUUUUUUCUUCGGUGAGUGUUUUAAUUUGAGAUUUUAUUUUUAAUUUUAUUAUUUAUCAUUAAACUGGUUGAUAAUUGAAAUUUUUAAUUGAAUUUUUGUUUUCAAUUUAAAUAUUCACAAUAAUUUUUUUUUCAUGUUAGAAAAAAAUUUAUCUAGCAUGGAGCGCUUCACCAAUCUUGUUCUGUAGCUAAAUCAAAAUGAUAAUUGCUCUUAUUGGUUCCUUUUCAUAAUUCUAUAGCUAGUGUUCCCAGUUGAAUCAAGUGUUGGACGUACCAAAAUGUUCAAAAUGAACAGUGCAGUUCAAUGAUGCCUUUGGGUCUCGGACAAGAAGAUAAUCUGAGUAAUUGAAUUGUUGACACUACAAAAUAGAAAAGAGCUAGGCGAAAACUUAAAAUUAAUAAUAUCAAGUGAUAAAUACAAAGACUCAGGCCUGUAGGGAGCACACGUUUCUUGUCAUAGAUAAUUCCUGCGUGAAUCCCACAUAAAAUAUACCAUUUUCUCAGAGGUUUUAAGCAACUGAGAAUGAAGUUCACAUGGCAUCCAAAUUGGACAGGUUGCUUGGAGUCAAAUUGCCGAAUCAUGCAAGCAUUGCAAAAUUGCAACCCUAACAAAAACAAAUCGUAUACUGGCAACACAAUACGCAUAAUAUUAUUGGCACUAGAAUCAACAGAGUACAUACAUUGCAGUUUAAGAACUGUUUGGCUACGCGGCUGCGAUUUAGUUAAAACGCAAAAAACGAGUUAUUGUUUAUGGAUCCCACAUGUUUUUGUACGUUCGGAACGCAGGUAAUGAAAAGCAACGAAUUCAUGCUUUUCAUCACUGUGCAUGCUAAUUGCACUGUUCACGUGAACAGUGCAGGAGAAUUGCACUGUUCAAAGUGACUAUUCACAGGUGAAUUACUGUUCACGUGAACAGUGCAAUUCUCUUGCAUUGUUCACUUUUUUUUUUUUUUGCAGUGUGUUAAAUUUUUUAACAUUUUUUUUAAAAAACAUUAGUUUAAAGUGAAUUAAAUUUACUCGCACUGUGAUAUGAACAAUAUUUGUUUUCUCGAAAAACUAGUAUAGAAUGAAUUAAAUUCACUCGCACUGUAAUAUCAAUUUUAUACCUAAUAAUAUUUUAUUUAUGCUUAAAAAAUUAUGAAAAUUGUAGUUCUUAUCGAAUAAAUUUUGUACGUAAUUGAAUUAUAAAUAGUUUAAUGGAAUAAUAAAAAAUAUUUUAUAUAAAGUAUUUUUUAUUUUAUGAUGUAAUAGGAUUAAUUAAUUCUACAAUAUUUAAAUUUAAAACCAUCAAUAUUAAUAUAUAUUUUUUAAAAUUAUUUUAUAACCUUAAUUUCAAAAGCAUUCUUAACCAAACACAUUAAACUACUUUUUCUUCAACUUUGAUUUCAACCACAGUUUUAAUCAAACAUCUAUUUUUUCAAACUAACCUCAACUAAAAGUACUUUUUAUAAAACAAAUUUUUCAAAUCACAACCACAACAGCUAUCGUAAUAUCGAACACACUCUAACACGAGCAAGAUUGAACAUAUAUAGGAUCAGACAUGGCUCUUUUGAAAUCUUAAAAAAAGAAAUAGAUAAAUAAUUAAAAUAUUUAAAAAACAAAUAUAAGAGGAGAGUUGGCUUAACUUGAUAAAAGAUUGUAAAAGAGAAAUGCCAAUCAAACACUAUAAAUGAGAAAUUGUCAGGUAGCCUUAGUAUAUUAUUACAUCAUUCAUAUACUACUAUACUAGACUAAUAAAUACAAGACACGUAUAUAAAAUAUAAUAAUCUCCUUGAGAUCUCAAGAAAAGUUGACUAUAUCCAUUUCUUCUUAUUCUUUGACUUUAUCUGUUCAUUUGAUAGAUUCAUGGGUAUCACUUCGAGACAAAGCCAAGUAAUGUCGAUUGAGGUUUGGAGUUACAUAAAAGUAUAUGCUUCGAACCGCGGUCGGUUGGAUGGUCUGAAAAGACUAGGAAAGAAAACACGAACGCGAAAAACGGCCGACUUUUUUUGUUUUUUUAGUAAAUCCAAAUUAAGACUAAUAAAGAUAUAAUGGUAGAAAAAAAAAAAACUUUUUCCAGCCAAUUAAGCCAGCGCAAACAGCUAGGAGACUGGCCCUUCAAAAUGCUUGUGCAAUGCAUUUUGUUUCUCUCCAGCCAUGCACAAAUUUCACCUUCUUCUCCUAAAUAAUGAACAUUCUUGCCUAGUCAAUAGAUUUAGCAUGCAAAUCCUUCGAGCGUAUUUGAGAGUAAGGUUGUGGUUGCUUUUUAAAAUAUUUUUCACUCGAAAGUGUAUCAAAAUAAUAUUUUUUUAUUUUUAAAAAAUUAUUUUUGACAUCAGCGCAUCAAAAUGAUUUAAAAACACCAAAAACUAUUAAUUUAAAGCAAAGAAAAAAAAUUAAAAAAUUUCAAAUUUUUUUCUUUUGAAACGCAAAAACAAACAGGGCUGAAAUCGUUGUCAAGAGAAAAGAGAAGAAGAUCUAAUGGCUAGAAGAAGAUAAUGAGCUGACACAAAACAAAAGGGAGGAGUGAGAAAAGAAAAAAAAAUUGGUACAUCAAAAACACAACAAACCUUCGAAUAUAAUAUCACCAUUACCAUAAAAAAGAUCUUAACAAGAAAACUUGUGGACAACAUGCAAGCUUACCGUAUGAAGCCUGAGUGACGCACACAUGCCAUCCAAAGACAGUGGACACUCACUCACCUAGCGAGUACAUUGCACAUGCCAGGUAAUUUGCCUUCUAGCCAUUUGGGCUGGCCCAAACAUCUAGUCUUUCCCUCUCUCUCCCUUUUUUCCCCCCACCUCUGUCUAUCCAAUCUUACCCCAACACACACCAUUUUGCAUUUUUUAAGUUGCCAGAGUUGCGCACACAAACUUUUUAUGAGUACAAUGUUUCUAUGCAUCACAAUAUUUUUCUAUGCCAUUUUUCUACGUCCAAUGGUUAUUUCCUGGCAUUAUCAGUGGCUACCAUCUCCACCAAUGACGAGCAUGACACAAAACAAACUGGUGACUCAACUUUCUAGGAAAGUAUUGCCACCAACAUCUUUAUUAAUGAAGAAUAUGACACUGUAACCGAUGACUUAACUUUCUAGAAAAAUGCUUUUCUUCUACGUGAUAUAAGUUCAAGGACUAAGUGUAUAAAUAUACUCAAUCACCAGGUAAAAGGGGCAGACCUAUUCUCUUCCACACAAAUCCUAAAUUUUGGGAAUUGGACUCACAAACUAAAAUAGUCUUUUAUCCUGCUAUACACAUUGUCUUCACAUACAUUUGACCCCUUUCAUAUUUACUAACUUAAACAUCAGGUGAAAACCAACUUGACCAGGGUUAAGACCAGUCAACAGCCUAGUAUACGACCAUGAAAAACCCAAUUUAUAACUGAAGUUUUUCAUGACUUUAUCAAUGGCUCCGUCUGUGGAAACUAAAUAAAAAGCUAGAAAAUUCUCAUCCAUCAUAAAAUGUUCUUUCCAUGGCUGAUGGAACUCCAGUAAAUGGGCGAGUAACUAAUCUCCUAACCAUAAAAACUCCAUCUCUUCCAGAUAUUCACCAACUCUUUCAUCAAAUACAAGUUCGUAACAAUAAUGUUUUAGCCAUACAAGAAUAGCUUCACACUGUUCCAUUCCAUCAAUAGGGUUUUUAGCCAUAUGUAAAAAACAUUUUGUUCUUUCUAAAUUUUCUUUUUAGGCUUUGUUUGGUAAAAAUCCAUUUUCUUUAUUAGAUAAAACUACCAAAACAAGUCUAAAGGCGUGUUUUCCAAACACACCCUUAAGCUAAAAAUUCCUUUAUAAAAAAGGUUAAAAACCAAACAGCGCCUUACACAUCUAAACCAGAUUUGACCCGAUCAGGUUGGCCCAAAAUAUUUGGUUCAACCCAAAAUUUUUGGUUCGAUCAUAAAUUGAACCAAAGAUCACGGGUUAGACAAAAAAAAAACCAAAACCCAAAAUAGAUUAAACUUGCAAAAAACAUAAAAAAAAAAUUUAUAUAUAAAAAACGGAUCAAAACCCAAAAAACUUAAGAACGCGAAGAACAUUCAAAGCAAACCCAACAACAUUAGUCUCAAAUCUGACUACAUAUAAUUAAAUCAAAGGCACAUGCAUGUCAAAAAUCAAUCAUUGAAUCAUAAUCAAGCAUCAAACAUCAACAAUUGUCACCCAAUAAUUAUGAUUUGAUCAAAAUUGAUUUUGAUGCAAAAACAAAACCUUAUGAUUAAAACUAAGAAAAAACAGUUAUUGAUGCAAACCAACUUUAGAUUAUUGAUUAAUCGAGUCCCAUAAAAUGUUUGGUGCAAAGAAAUGGACCAAAACUAGUUCAUUUCAUGGAGCCAAAUGAAUGUUCUUUCCAAGAACAUGAAGAACACAAACCCAAAAAUACCCAACCGCUGCCAAAUCCAGAAUUAGCCUUUUAGACCUCUAAACCAAGCUCUUUUAGUUCUCACAAACCACAUUGCCAUAUUCACACAUGUUUGAAUCAAAACAAAUAACAAAAAAAAAAUUCAUAGAAAACAUGUAUGAAAGUUCAAUCUUCAAAAUUGCCAAAGUUGAACAACACACAUAUUCAAUAAUAUGGGAUUCAAAGUUGGCACUUUAAUACUUCAAAAGACUCAACCAAGAUUCAGGGGCAAAGAACAUGCAUUAGCAAACCAUAAAAUAAAAUAAAAACCUUCUGCCAUAUUUAGAAGAUUAAAAAAUUAUUCAAUUUCACCAAAAACAAGCAUCCAAACAAUUUUAAACAUCCAGCAAACAUUAACAACCAACUCGAAGCAAGAUUAUGCAAAGAAAAAUAACAUUUUCAUGCAUUACUCAAGAUUUAAGCUUAAUACUAAAACAAGUUCAAAACAUCAUUAAAACUUACAAGGAAGAGUUAAAGGUGUGCCUUAUGGACAUCACCUGCUAGGUUAGAGGAAGGUUUUAUUUCUUUCAAGCUUAAAAAGUGGUUGUUGCCAUUUACUCUUUUUUGUAAGAUCUUCCCUCCAUAAAUUUCUAUCUUUUCAAAGCUAAAGAUACUCUUGCGCUAGCCUCGUAAACCUUCAUAACUAGGAUCUCUUUAUCAAUAUUUUCUCUUCCCUCAUUCUCCUUUUUUUUUCUCAAUCAUGAUUUUUCAGGGGGUAUUUAUAGGGUUUUUUUAUAGAUUCCAUCAAGGAUUGAUCAUGAUUGAUCAAUGCUUGACUCUCUAAUCGAAAUGGAAGGGUUUGGGGCAAGUUUUAAUAGCUGGAAGCUCUGUACUUGGUUGGUUUCGCAAUGGUAGUUUUUGGGAUUCUUGGUGGUUUUACUAAACUUGAAAGGCAAUGAGCUGUUUUUUGAUUUUUGAUCUACAAAGAAAGGUUUAAAGCCCUUUAUAAGAACCUAUGAAGAAGGCUUGAAGUGUGAACACAUAAAAAAACAAUGGUUUCUGCACAUUGGGUAUCACAGUCAUGGCUGACUAAGUUGACCACUUUUGAAGCCUUGUCGGAGCAAUUCUGACAUCAUCGAUGUCUGAGAUUACCUGAAGUUGGUAGAGGGGUGUGCACACCUUUCAUUUGGAUCCAACCUUGAUCGAUUGGGAGGUCUGCAACUUCACAUUCAUUCAUUUAAAGAUGCCAACUUAAUCAGCAUAUAAUCCAAGGAUGGUUGAUCAGGAACAAGAUGUUGUUAAGUUUGUUGAAGAAAAUGAGAUGUAAACGUUUGAUGAAAGUAACUGAUCCUUAUAGAAGAGGUAUUUCUCAAUUGAGUGGUGGUGGUUAAAGCCCCUAAGGUGGUUGAAGAUGCCACAUUCAUUCGUCUGAAAAUGGCAUAUCGAUCAACAUUAUCGACUGAAGAAGAUGAGACACAAUGACUAAACGAUGUGUCAUUUAAUCCUUUCAUUAAUUCUGAGCAACACAUUGUCUAUGUCAAACCGUAAAAAUUAGGGUUUUUAAAUAAGAAUUUGGGUAAUUUCAAUUUGGUCAUGUACUUUCAAUUUUGGUGUUUACACCUCUACUUGAUCCGAUACUUUCUCAAUUUUCACAAUUGCAUUCCUGAAAACUUUGAUUUAAAUCAUUUAAUUUGAGCGCCUCUAAUAAGUUAGUCAUUGGUUCCCAAAUUAUGCAAUUUGACCCCUAUCAACCAUUAAACUUUUAAUUUCUUUCAAAUUGACCUCUGGUUUGAUCAACUUAAAUCCCUACAUUCAAAUGUUAUUUUUUUUCUGUUUGGUCUUUGGUUUUGAAUUUCUUCAAUUAAGUCCUCAGUUACCCAUCAAGCUUCAAUAUUUAUACAAUUAAGCCCCUGAUUUGAUCAAAUUAGCUUUUUAAAAUUGCAAUUCAACCCCAGACUUCAAUUUCUUCCACUUAAAGCCUAAAUUGAACUAAAAAACCAAUGUUUCUUGUAAUUAAACUCUUAAUAAAUUUAAUUAAACCCUAAAAGGAUUUCAAUUGAGUUCUUAAACAUCCGAUUUCUAUUUUUUUCUUUUUUAAUUGAGUUUUUCUUGUCAAUAGGAGAUCAUUAGUUAAAAUUAAACUAUUAAACUAUCAAUAUAUAUAAACCCUAUAACCAAAAGAAGUCCUUCGACUGGUUAUGUUAGAAUUUAUAUAUUAUAUAAUCGGUCAGAUCAAACUACAAAAGUCUUUAAUUGUCGAUGAUUCAAAAAGUGAAACGAACAGCAUUUGGAAGCGUCAUGCUAUACCAUUGUUGUUCCGUACUGUACUUUUGUUUUUAGAAUUUAUAUAUUAUAUUUGACUCAGAAGUUUGUUGAUUUUUUAAAUAUUAUAUUUGUUUCUAGAUGUACUAUAAUUAGAAUUUUGUUUUCCUUAAAUAAUAGGGCCCGCCAUGCCGGAGGACCUAUAUAUAAAGAGUCAAACUUUGACUGAUUAUUUUCAAGGAAGAAAAUUUCAAAUCGGACUCCACUUCUACUGCUAAUCCACACAACAAGACAAAAGGCACUAUCCCAAAGUAAAAGGUAUAAUAUAAUUUAAAGUGGUUAAUUAAAUCUUUUAUUUUAUCAUUCAAAAAAUAUAUAAAUUCAAGAACAAUCCUUACAAAAAAAAAAAGGGAAAUAGGCAAAUAGCCACCCAACUAGCAUUCCUAGCUAGCUAGUUUUAACUAUCUAUAUAUCACCAACCUGACUAGUUUCCCCUACGGCAUUCUUUGCUUCGCCCGUCGUGUUUGGCUUAUCUUGCUCCAUUUCUUGAACUUGGUAGUCAGAUCGUGGAAAAUUAGUUAUGGCUCUAAUUCCACGAAAUUCUAUAUUUUUCUUAUCAUAAGCUCUAGCAGCAUCCUCUGCAUUAUCAAAAGUUCCCAGCCACAAACGAGACCCUUGCCCUGGGUCCCUUAUCUCCGCUGCCCAUUUUCCCCACGGCCGCUGCCUGACUCCCCGAUACUUGUUCUUCCUCCCUUUCCCUUUACCUUUCUUCUUUGAGGCAUUUCCUCCUCCUCCUCCUCCUUCUUGGUCAGUAGUACUACUGGAGAAAUAGACGCAACCAAGGCAUUGGGAGGUACUCAAUUUGCAAACCGGACACGUCUCAGAAUCUGAAACGUAAAUUAUGCUGCUCCCUCCUCCCACAUUACCAUCAUCAGCCGCUAGGAUUUGCUGCUGGUUCUGGUACUCUAUUGGGCCGGUAGUACUGCCAUGAUCAAUACCACCUGAGAUUACAUGCUUAAGAGCUGAUACUAUGGCGUUGUGUUCGUCUACUCGUCUUUGAACCAAAUUGUUCAACGAGGAGGCAUCCAUUUUAUUUUAUAGUAUCGUACUUUUUUCUUCUCAAGAAAAGUUGGGAUUGUAUGUUUUAAGAAAGAUGACGUGAGGAAAGUUUUGAAUGGAAGUGAUGGGUAUAUAUUGAGAGAAGAAAUGAGCAGACUGCAGUUGGCCCGCCCGCGGAAACAAUCGCGGCAUGUGGAGAAACAAAACUUUAUGGGGCCCACUUGUGACGGUGUGUAAACAGAUGAUUUAUGUUGGCAUGGGCUAUGACUUCUGAGGCGACAUAGGACAACAGUGAAGUGACGGUGUUUUAACGUAGGGAUGCUAUGUUCCUAUGCGUCACAACUACAAAAAAAAUAAAAAUAAAAAAAAUCAACAAAUCAUAUGUUGUAUUUUCCUUGUGCAUUACAUGCAUGUUUUUAUUAACCUACACGUUAUGUAGAUAAUAUAUUGUAGAUUUAAUUGUAUUUAUAAUCAUACAACUCUUAAUAUAUAAGAAUAGAUUAAGCUAUUCAUCCUCUUUAUUUUUAGUUUUCUACUAUUUUUUUUUUAUUUACAAUUUUUUUUAACUGUAUGCAUAGGAUUGUUUAGCAUCAUGCUUGAGAAUCCUGGCAUAAUUAUUAUUUUCAAAAUUACUUUUAAUAUUUUUAUACUAAUGGUAUAUUGAAAAAGGAUCCAUCCAUUUGAGAGUAUGUUGAGAUAUAAUGGUUUAUGGACUUGAUUUUAGGUUUCAGGAACCAAUAAGAGAAAUCAUCGAACCUAUAAAGAAAAACUAAUUGAUUAAUCCUUUGAAAAAUUAAGAAUUAUACCAUACUUAAAUAAAUGUAACAAUUGAAAGUAAAAUGGUGAUCGUGAGGACGACUUGGAUUUUAAAAGACUCAAGAAACCAGCACAAAUCCCUAAAGAAAAGCUGGUGCAUGUGCACUAAUGGGUUGUUUUGAGGGAAUUGGGUGCAUGGGCAAGGAUGAACACUACACUUAGGGUUUGAUUUAGAAUGUGGUAAAAGUUGUUUUGUAAAGUAAUUUUUGUUUGGAAAUAUAUUAAAAUAUAUUUUUUAUUUUUUAAAUUUAUUUUUGACAUUAGCAUAUUAAAAAAUAAAAAAAUUAAAAAAAUUAAUUUAAAGCUAAAAUAUAUUUCAAAAAUAUAGUUAAAAAUAGCCUUCACAAAAUCUCUAAGAAAAAGGCCUAAAAUUAGAGCAUACCCAUCAACCCCACGUAAAAAAGUUUAGGUAUGUAACCAAAAAAAUAAAAGGCUUAAAUACAACUUCCUCGUUUAAGAAAGAUGGUGCUUCAUAGGCAAGUGCACAACCGGCCCCGUUGUGAGAGUUUGAUUCACUCAUUUCCUAUAUUUAUUAGUUCCUUCUACUUUCUACAAAUGUAAUUUUUAUAUCUUGGCCCAUGUACUCACAUUGACAUGGAUUGUAUUGAGAUAAAAAGGUAAAAUUCGUAAAGAAGAUUGGACACAUUAAAUAUAUAAUUUGAUAAAAAUAAUCAUAGCUUUAGCUAGAUCUGAUCAUUAGAUGAUGUUUAAUUUUUUUUAAAUGAUAUUGUAGACCUUAGUGUAUAGGAGGGGCGACCUACUCUAACUAGACAAGUUCAAAAAAAUCCUCAAAUUAGGCCCAAGAAAUAUUGCUUUUGUUAUUUUAAUUAUUUUUUAGUUAUUUUUGAAUUUUAAUUAUUUUUUUCUACUUAACAUUAUAUCCUUUGGUUAGGUUAGUUCUAAACCUCUAUAUAAUUUGUUGAUAUGCUAUUUUUUAAUUUAAUUAUUGAAUUACAAAAAAUUUUAAACAAAAUAUCAAAAUUUUCUCUUUAUUGCUUUACAAUUUGGACUAUAAUAUUAGAACUUAAAAACUCUAAUUUUGAUUCACACUAUAUCACGUUGUCACACAUUAAAUAUAGUUUUCUUUCCUCUUAUGUUGUGAUUCACAGAAACCAUCAUCAAGCUAUACAAAAAUAAGUAGAGUCUAGCAUCGAGGCUUGUGACCCAGAGGUCUUGGCAGGGUUUCCUUAUCUCUGCCUCCUGGAUUCAAGUCUGAGUGUGCACACCUGUCACCCCUGCGGUGCCUUACCUGCCUCCUAGGCUUGCAAGGUGUUCAGUGGAUCCGAGGAUUAGUCAUGGUGCAUGUAAGCUAGCUUGGAUUCCCCGGGUUAUAAAAAAAAACAAGUUAACUAAGAGAUGAUUUGAAAUGUUUAGAGCAAGGUUCCUAAAGACCACAACUAAUGAGAUCUCUAGCUUUUCUUUUGCAUCCUUUAUAAAAUAUUUUACAUAACCCCUACAAAAAAUUGUAAAAUAUAUGAAAACAUCUAGGUAAAAUAUUAUAGCAAUCCAUAUUAAAUUUUUUUCCUUUCAUUUUCACCCUUAAAAUUUUUUUUUCAAUUGCGGUCUUUUAGGAAAAAAACUAAUCACCAAUUUAUUAUAAUUUUUUUAGAAAGUACAAAUUCAACAAAACUAGACCAAAGUAUAGAAUAAGGAGAAAUCUAUGGAAAAUCUAUAAUUUGUUAGAAAACAUUUUGUUUAGUCCACCCAUUUUCUUUUUUUCUUUCUUCACAGUCCCUAUAGUUUUUUUUUAAAUUUUGAUUUUGAUCUAAAAAUUUAUUUUCUUAUUAUUUUAUUCCCUCAAUUUGAGAGAUGAGAAAUAAAGUCGUCUGAAAUCCACAAAGGAGAGAUAAAGUUAUCAUUUUAGCCAUACUUUAGCGACAAAACUGAUCUUGAUGUUAAUGAGAUUCAUUUGAUGAGGGAGGGUUCCAUUAGAGAGUAAAAUUUUUCCUUAUUUGAUUUUGUAUUUUUGGACUAUUUUAGGGUUUUUAGGUUGACAAAUUGAUUUUUUUUUUAUGUUAUAGGGUAUUUAUUAGGUGUUUUAGGUGAAAAUAAAUUUAUUAGAGAAAAAAAACUCUACUCCUAAUUUUGCGGCCACCUCCGUGGUGGUUGGAUUGUUGAAGAGAAACGACAUCUCGUUUUACUUAAUUAUUUUAAAAUAUAUAGAUGGAUGACAUGUCUACAUCUUUGCAUGGAUCGAAAAGAUAGAAAGAAAAGCCCAAGUUUGUGAGCUUAACCUUGAAUUCCAAUGCACAUGGGCUUUUGUUUUAUUAGGUUAGUUACGUUGGGCAACCCUAUACUAGAUGCCCGACCCCAGUUUAUUAAAAAAAAGUUAAAUCUAGAUUAGUUAAAUAAAGUUGUGGGAUACCUGAUUUGGCAGGUAUUUGAUUUUAAUUAAAAUGAUUUAAAAUAAAUUAAUUAAAAAUUAUGAUAUUUUUUAAUAUAAUAUAAUUUAUACUUGAUUUUUUCCUUAGAUUAUAAUUUUUUUCUUAUAUUAGUAGGCAUUCUUUUUAUGUAGCCCUAUAUAAUAUUUUUUUUCCUUUAAUCUUAUUCAAUAAUUUCCCUAUGCAUGUUUAUUUUUAUUAUUUUUUAAUUAAAUAAAGAAUUAAUUUCAAUAAAUAAAGUUAGUAAACUUAUGAGGGUCUAUAGCUCGUAUUACGAGAUCAAAUAUCUUAAUAUAUAUUUAUCUCUAAACUUUCCAGCUUAGUUUUUAGUAAGAGUUAAUAAUUUUUAUUUUCAUACAUUGGUGCAUAUGGUUCUAAAUUUAUUUAAUUAAAUAUAUGAAUUAGUUUUUUCUAUUUGCAAUAAAGUAUUUUCCUUGAUGUCAAAAACAUGCUGGAAACGCCUACAUAUUUAUUUUUUGGCAUUAAAAAAUAUUUUGAUCCUACUCAUGGUUAAGCACGAGUCAACUGACUAGAUUUUAAAAUUAAUUGUUAAAAUUUUAUUUGGAAAUAGAAAAAAACAUUAGUAAUGUGUGUAUUUCCUUCUUUUAAAAAAAUAUGACCUAACCCGUAACAAAACACAAGCAAAACCUAGGAUCUAUCUGGAAUAAGUAUAACAACCUCAUAAGUUAUUAUUGUUCAUUUCAUAUCUCUUAUUAUACCAUAAAAUGCCAAAACUCAUUAGUUAUGAAAAAAAAAAAACUCAUAUCUAUUACCUAUAAAUACACCCUGAUUUACCCUAAUCAAGAGCUUAAAGGGGAAAUAUAGUUAUUAAAAUUGACUUGGAUGUUGAACUAGCACAAGAGUUUGAUUAUGGGUUAGGUAAGUUUACUCGAAUCAAUUAUUUUUUAAAACAAUAACCUUUAAAAUAAUAUCAUAUUAAUUUUUGUUAAGUCAAACUAAAUAUUAACUAAGUAAAUCAAGAUGAGGGUUAACUCUAUAUAUAUAUAUAUAUAUAUAUAUAUAUAUAUAUGUAUGUAAGGUUCCAAAUUGACCCUCCAAGUCACGUCAAGUUUAAUAAAAAAUAAAAAUGGUUGAAAUGGACUCGAAACAACUCUCCUAACAAGAACACCACUACAAGAAUAUACCAUCCAACUAAUGCACUAUUUGCUUUAACAUUUUUUUAUUAAGGAUUGUCGAUAAUGUUUUUUCUCGAUAAUGUUAUGGUUCUACCAAACUUGCAAGAUCUCGAUGAUUAAUGAUACAUAAUUGUCUCCUUUUUUAUUAUUUUUUUUCGUUUAUCAAUGACAAUAUUGUAGCCAAAUUCCAAAGAUUGCAAUUGUCUCAUCGAGAAAGCCACCCUAAUUGCAUCAUAGGGGGAAAAUGGCUCAGUUGGUUAAUUAUUAUUAGUUUUGCACAUAUUAUUAAUAAUAUUACCAUUUUCUGGUGUCAAAAUCAAAUCUUAAUUAGAAGUGACUAAUUUUAUUUAAUAUUAAUUGAUCCAUAUAUUUUUAUAUAUUUAACGUAUUUUUUCAUAUAUCAUUUUAAAAUUCUUCACUCUCAUAAGCCUUAAAUAUUCACAUUAUCUCAUAUGUACUUUUGUUACUUUUUGGACAAAAUAUCUCUACAAUCAUAAAAAUAAUAAUUAAGAACCAAAAAAAUGAAAAGUGAAUUAAAAAAAUAAAAAGAAAGCUUUAAAAGCCAUGAAAAAAUUAAAAACAUAAAAAUAUUUAAAAACUGAAAAAUAUGAAAACCCAUUAAAAAAACAAAACUAAAUUUUAGAAAUAUGAAAAAGAAAAUAAAAAUCAUAUCCAAAAAACUUCAUAAAUAUAUAAAUUAAUAUGUCUCUGAAAAUUAAAUAAUUUUUUUCUAGAUGUAGAUUUUUCAAAAUCCAAUGUUUUUAAAUAUAUUUUAUGGGUUAUUUCAAUUUUUUAUGGACGUUCCAAGUUUUACAUUCCCAGUUUUUUUUUUAAAAUCAAUUUUAAUUUUUAGUGGUUUACAAGUAUUUAAAAAUGAAUUUUUUUAUGUUUUGGAAAUUAUGUUUUCUUUUUUCUAUGUUCUAAGGGGCACUUUGGUCCAAAUUAUGGCAAAAGGUAUAGGGAAUAAAAUAUAAAUAUACAAGAACAUAUGAAAAUGAAAAAUAAUUAAGUAUAUGAAAAAAUGCUUUAAAUAUACAAGGAUAGAUGGAUUCAAAAUCCCUUUUUAUUUAUUUUCAUUCAAAUGUUCUUAUGAAAACCACCGGCGCCUGAUUUCUUCAUAAGUAGUUUUCCUUCUAAUAAGUACUCCUAACAGUAACAAUUAAUGCACGUGACAUUUCCAUAUUUUAAAGAAAUUUGUUGAAGAGGGUGGCGCCGCAAUCUCUGUUUAAAGUGCAGAGCCGCAAUCGCAGCAGUCAAAACUCAUUCACUUUUGUGUUUCUCUUGCUGUCUGCAUUUGUUGCUAUUUGCCAAGCUUCCUUCCUUCCUUCCACGGAACAAGUAGCCAUACAACACGUGUCCUAUUUAAAAAUAUAUGGUCCUUGUAUCCAUGCGUGGAAUCCUCGGUACGUAUUGAAGAUUUCAUGCGUGAGGCCGCUAUUUCUACGUUGACCUAUUGUCAACAGGUCGGUUGGGGCUGAGCUGGCGGCGUUUGUUUUCCUAAGUAUCUUUACCGUGGUUUUAAAUGUCAGCAGUUACUUUUAACAUCUGUUAUGUUGGUAACAUGAUUAUUUUUUUAAUACUAAGUUAUGUGUUGCACUUUCGGACAUCACAAAAAUCGUCGAAUCCUCCGUACAUAUUGAAAAUUCCAUACGUGAGGCCGCUAUUUCUACAUUGACCCAUCAACAGGUCGGUCGGGCUGGGCUAGCGACGUUUGUUAUCCUAACUAUCUUUACCAUGGUUUUAAAUAUCAACAGUUUUUUUUUUAAUAUUAUUAACGUGGGUGUCCAGACCAGCUUGCGCGUCUCGACUAAUCCCACAGGUCCUGAAAUUAAUAACCAUGUAAGCUUCCAGUGGCCAUCAUAUUAGCAAUUACAUGACUCGAACUUGAGACCACAUGAAAAACAAACCUCUUAAUCUCAAACUCUAACCACUGGACCUCCUACUAAAUGGUUAAUAUCAGCAGUUACCAUCUGCUAUGUUGGUAAUCGACUGGACAUGAUUAUUUUUUUAUAUAAAGCUAUCUGUUGCACUUUUAGAUAACAUAAAUAUUAAUUUUUGUCAUUUUCAAAACUAUUUCAGUGAAGAGAUUUUUAUCCACUAAAAGGGAGGAGGACAAGUGAUGUAUCAGUAUAUUUUUAAUAGGUUUGCUUUUAAAAGCCUAUGAUUAAAAGGGUCAAAUACAAAGUAAUAACCCAACAUAUCUAGGCUUGACAAAACUUCAAACCUAGAUGACAUGGGUCUCAUAAGAUGCCAGACCUAAUAGUUUUGCGUUUCGCUGCAUGCAAAACUCAAGCGCAAAUGGGUCUGACAAGGAACCAGAUCCAUCACCCUUGGGUUUUGAAUAAUUCAAAAUCAAAUACAUAUAGAGCUAAUAAUAUUUUUAGGCCCCGUCUUGGAUCACGAGGAUUUGUUGUUUAUUCUUAUGUCUUUUAACAAAAAAUAUUAGAAGUCAAUAAUGAUCAUCUCCCUACAUUUCUAGGUGUUUAAAAGUCUCUAAAUGAUCUAUUAUAUUUCCAUCAACAUUAAUUUUAUGUAAGAGAUAUUUAUCUCUCAUUAAUGUUAUGUAAGAGAUACUUAUCACUUAUUAAUAUUAUUAGGAGGAAAUGACAUUUCAACUCCUCCAUUUAAGCAACGUGACGAAGUUCAAAGACUUUAUAUACCUUCAUAACCACAUAAGGGUUCAUACUUUUUCUAUUCUCUAUUCAUACUCUUAAUUUACAGAGCAUUUGUCAUACAUAACUAAAAACAAACACUCUUAUUCUUAAGAAUUUUAAAGCUCAUUCUCUUAUUUAUUGUAAUCACUUAUUAAAAAUCAAUGAAUAUAUCAUUAGAGAGUCCUUAAAUCUCAUAAAAGAACUGUUUUGUAGGUGUUGGGUCUUCUAUCACCAAUCAUCCAUUUCUUGAACUUUAGAGAAGGGAACAUUAACAUGAACGUAUGAUCACCCUCUAUCCGAACACUAAAAAACCCUCAUUUCUGAGCAUAUUGAAUUUUGAAACAUUAUCAAUAAGUUUGUCCAAUUAUCUGCACAAGAGUUAACCUAGAUCAACAAAAAGAUAAAAGUGAUUAUUAUCAUUAGCAAUGAUAAUUUAACUUGAACCCGAUGGAUACCGACCCGACUCAAAUGAGUGAGUAUUUUUUGGACUCGAGGGAUAAUGAGUAGGGUAUGGAUAUUGUAAAACCCGAUCUGAAACCCGCUUAAACCUAACCCAAAAUAUAUAAUUAUAUUAUAUAAAUUUAUUUGUGGAAUAUUUAGAUGUUUUAAUAUAAUAUGAUAUAUACAUGGACACCCCCUCUGUGAGGUGGCAUCGCACUUGAUGAGCGUGCUUCGAGAAAGGGUACCUAUGCCUCAAACAUGUAUUCAUGGUCAGUACCUAGUGACUCAUGGUCAUCACAAGAGCUACUAGAAGAACUAGCAGCACUCCUAUAUGUAUUAUACACUAAUUAAUUUUUUCUUGUCAUCUAUACAAAUUAAAGGAUUAAAAAAAGUAAUAACAUUCCUAUUUAAAAAAAUUCGGCAGCACCUAAUUUAUACAAGAGACUACCUAAAAUUAUAUUACCUGCAAAUACGCAUUAACAAAUAAAGCCAAAAACCAAUUUAUUUUAUUUACGAUAAGUCCUUGUUCAUAUCUCUCUAUUUAGUGAUUGAGAAAGAGAGAAGAGAGGAAGAAAAUAUAGAGAGAGUGUGAGAAAAGAAAGUAUAAAGAGAAUAGAGGAAGAAAGAGGAAAAAGAUGUUGUUUUUCUUCUAAAGUUAGGGAUUCUGGUAUUUUAAUUAAGUCUUUUUAUCGAUGGAAUUACUAAUGAAAAAUUUAAAAAUUAUUAAUUUUUAAAUUCCAUCGUUAAGUUUGUCUAUAAUUAAAAAUUAAAAUUUUCAAUUAAACCCGAAACUUUUUAGAAUGUAAUUUUCAAACCCCCCCAACCCAAAAUGAACCAAUAAAAUUUUAGUUUGUCGGUGAUUCCUAUAAUGGUUAGUAGUAUAGUCGUGUAAUUUUUCUCCAACUCUCUAGAACUUACUGACAUAAUUAGUUCAUUAGUGGUUUUGUUUAUAAUGGUUAGUGACAUGGUCAUGUAAUUUUUAUCCAACUCUCUGGAACUUUUUGAUGGAAUUAGUUAGUUAGUGAUUCUGUUUGUAAUGUUAGUGGCAUAGUUAUGUAAUUUUUUUUUAUCAAACUCUUUGGAACUUUUCGAUGGAAUUAGUAUGUCAGUAAUUUUAUCUAUAAUUUAUAACCGCUGAUGAUUCCAUUGGUAUCAUCAGUUUCUUUUUCCCCAGUAUUUUUGUAUUUCAUAUUUAUCCAGCUUGUAAAAAUAGUGAAAUCACAAUACAAUAACAUCAUUUUUGUUUAUAAUAAUAAAAUCACAAAAAUAAAUGUUUCAUUCACAUCAUUGUAAAAGGACAACUAGAAAUAUUAUGUUAAAGUCAAUUUUAUUACACAUUGAUGUUUUAAAAAUUAAUCAGAAUUUUCUUCUUCUUCUUCUUCUUCUUCUUCUUCUUCUUCAAUUUCAUCAUCAUCAUAUCUACCAUAACCUCUUAUAUUUAAUUGUUGCUCCUCGAUAUCAUCAUCUUUUUUUUUACUUCUGUAUAUACACUAGUUCUUAAUAUAUCAUUUAACUCCUCAACAUCAACAUCAACAAAAGUAUUCUGAGCAAUGUGAAAAUUUAAAUUUUCUUCUAAGUUAGUAAACGUAACAACUCGAUAUGGAUCAACUAACUCAACAAGUUGAAAGACAUUAUAUCCCACAGUUACUUCAUCGUUACCAUCAUAAACAACUUGAACACGACCCCUAAGUUUGGUUUUCACUUUGGAUAAGCAAUAAACCUUAGAACGAUCCUUUCUAAAAGAAUGAGUGUAUUUGCAAUAAACUUGUUAGCAUUGAUUGGUGAAAACGAAGACAUAUUUGAUGUUAUGAAGUCUAGCAUUUGUAUUAAUUUUGACUAAACCAUGAUGGAGAUUUACCUUGAUUCCUCUAUCAGUGGUAUCAUACUAAUAGCAUUUAAAUAAAAAGACUUUAUUCUUCUCACUAUGAUAUUGUAAUUUAAUCACCUCUUCUAACUUCUUAUAAUAAUCAACUUUAAACUCAUUGGAAAUUGAUUCAUUAACAUAAACUCCACUAUUAUAUGUCUUUCUAUCAUGACCAUAUUCUUCAAUAUGAAAUACAUAUUUAUUGAUAAAAUACUUGUCGUAGCACUUUACCUUUAUUUCAAGACCUAAACAUAGUAAAUUUAAACUAUCAUUAGCAUUCCAUUCCAAUUAAUUAACCUGAUAUAUAAUUACAACCAUUAACAAUUAUAUAAAAAGGUGUCAUGAAAUUAAGUAUUAUAAAAGAUAAGCAUUGUUAAGCAGUGCUUACAUGUGUUCUGAACCACGUGACAAAUUAUUUAUCUUGUAAUUAAAAAUUUUGAGAUAGUAAAAAUUGAUGAUGUUGCCUACGAGAAAUUAUUCAAUUUAUUAGUUUAUGAGAGUAUGAGAGAAAGAUUGUUUGAAAAUAACAUGUUAAUUACUAUACUUAUUGAAUAAAAAGUCUCAAUUCAUCAUAAUUAAACAACAUGUAAUUAUAUGUAGUCUAAAUUUGAUUUCUAUCAAGUAUCCUCUCCUCACUGUAUUUCUUGAUAAAGGUCAUCAAAGAUGGAAAAAUAUUGAUAAAUUCCCACUCCAAGGCACUUUCCCCUCGCAUAUUGAAGCCUCAACAUAGACUUUAUUUUUAACUUUUUUUCUUAAGGUUGAACAAGUAUCUGCAUGGAAUUAAAUGAAUGUUUUAAUUUUUUUUUAAAGAUAACAAAAAUUUAAUUAGGAUGCAUGUGUAAUCCCUAACAUCUCGAAUGGAUACAUCCAUCUAUACUGGACAAAGCUCAAACUUUUGCCUUAAACGGUAAAUAUAUGGGUAGAUACUCGAUUGAAUCGAAGAAAGAUGAAGGAAAUAUGAUCUCAAGUUUAUAGAUUGCCUGUAUGAUAUUUGUUUCAAGCUCCUCCAUAUGUUGGGUAUGCAAGUUUUUAUGGUGAUAAAAUAAAGGUAUAUUUAACUCAAUAUUCUUAUUGUGACAAAAUAAUGGUAUAUUAAUUCUAGCUUUCAUGUUGUCCUCUGUCUUUCCUUUCACGUUCAUCAUUGUGUUAAAAAUAUUUUCUAACAUAUGUUUUUGUUAUAUUCAUAACAUCCAGAUUAUGACAGAAGAGAUUAGUCUUCCAGUAAGGAAACUCCCAAAAAAUACUUUUUACCUAAUUUUAGGUCACACCAAAACCAAAGCCUCAUACACAUUUCUAAUGGCAAGUUGUAAAUCGUGAAUAUCACCGGCCAACAAGAAAAAGGUGCAACAAAUGACUCGAAUGAAUUGGAUUCGCCUAUACAUAACCCAAGACUUAUAUUAUGUGAUUCCAUUAAAAAAUAAGGAUGCACCCUAUUAAACUGCUUCCAUGCUUCACCAUCGGAAGGGUGCACCAUAACUCCAUCCAUUGUAUGUGAAUGAUGUCAUGUCAUGUGCUCAACAAUCUUCAGAGACAUGAAUAACCUUUGUAGUCCAGGAGUGAUUGAGAAGUAUCUAAGUUUUUUUUAUAUACGAUAAGGGUCUUUCCCCUACCAGUUAUAGUUUUAGACCAAGCAUGACCACAGGUUCUGUACUCAAUCAAAUCUGUAUUUUCAAGGUAGUGCAACAUGUAAAAGUUUGGACAAAUGUAUUUUCUUGUAUCCUAGGCCAAAGGGUUUUAUCAUGGAUUUAGCAAUACAAAAGUUCUCUUUCAGCAUAUUCUCGUUCAGGUAAAAUAUUUUUCGCCCAUUCGAUGAUUUUUUCAUAACUGGCCUUACUAAGCUCAUGAUCUGACUUGAUGAUGAAUACAUGUGCAACAACCAAUAAUUUACUGUGAUUUUUGCACCUGUCCUACAAUGAUUUGUCAGAAUCUUUCAAAAGAUCAAAUAAUCAGGUCGUGUCUGCAUUUUUUCUUCAUCUAUGAUUGAAUAUUCACUUGUAUAACCCUGAUUCAUUCUCAUCACAUCUAUAACCAUACUCUUAUAAGGAUUACUAUUAUCAUCUACAACUCAAUGCACGUUGCUAGAACUAGAAGUUGACUCAACCAUCCUUUUUAUCAUGGUCUCAUAAGGGAUAUACAGUUCACUAGGUGUAAACAAACGCAAGUAUUUCUCUAUAAAUGUUUUUUUAUAGAAGAUGUGUCGUAACAACAUUUGGAUCAAAAAACUUUUUAUUCUUACACCUCUCACAUGGACAUCUAAUAUUGUCUCCACUAAUAUUUUUUAGAUUAGAUAGUGUGUAAUUAAUAAAACCCUCAACCCCAUUAUAAUAAUUUAUUUUGUGCAACCCCUCGAGUGAAACUUGGUACAUCCAAGAAUGAUCAUUCAUUACUUAUAUAAAACCUAUAUAGAAUAUUGAUGACAACAUGUAUUAAUUAAUUAUGGGAACUAAACAAAUUAUCGGUCCCCAACUAAUUAGCUAUCAUUGGUUUAACUCAAACUUAUUCAAUCUAUUUUAAUAGUAACCUUAAAUCAUUAUCACUUUUCUACAAAAAAAUCAAAUUCCUCCACAUUUACCAAAAUUUUGAACUUAACAAUAAAAUUGAAAAACAAUAUGAAACGUACCUAUUAAAUAAGUCAUGAUUUAUUUCAUUACAAAACACCCAAGUCAUAAAAAUCAAACUCAAUUUCAUCAAAUUACAAACAAUUAUAAUUUUUCAAAAUCUCAAAUAAACCCUAACAUGUACAAAUCAUAUAUUCAUACAAUACAUUUUUAUGAGAAAAAGCUAUAAAACAAGUAAACACAUAAACAAACUACAUAUACUACAUCAAAUACAAAAUUUUUUUUACAAAAUGAGUUAAAAAAAUGAGUAGUUUUGCUUACUUGAUGUGGGGAAUCUAUUGAUCUAGAACAUGGAUAUUGGGGUGACCAAAUUUGUGAUGAUGUGAGCUUGAUUUGUUAUAAAAUAGGGGGGUUGUUGUUUGCUAUUUUUUUUGCAGAAAAAAAUGGAAGAAGAAGAAGAUAUUGGGGAGGAAGAGAGGGGUCGAUUACAAGAUUAUAACUUAAAAACUACCGAUAGAGCAAAAAAAAAUUUUCAUCAGUAAUAUCAUUUGUAAUAAUAACAUAUCCCCGCCUUCUUUUCUCGUUCCUUCAUUUCCAACUGUGAUUCUGUUGGUAUACACCGAUGUCGCACCCGACAUCGCGGCUGCCUUAAAAAUUUAUUAAAUCUUUGGAAAGAACGGAUUUCUGGCAUCUUGUUCUUUAAUGGAGAAUGGUCUUGUUUAAGGAGUCGCCACCUAGUAUUAUGGUCACUAGGAACCCUAACUAGUCAAUAGAGAUUCUAUGGUUCGGGACUGGUUACGUAAAAGGGAAGAUAUUAUUACCCCCUAAACGUCCUGCCUGAGGCAGGCUGCAUUGCUAGUUUCAUCUUAAAUUGCUAAAUGUUUAUUAAUUUAUGCUAUGAAAAUUUGCUUAUAAUAUUCCUAACUCUGGCGCCAGUGAAUAUUCAACUACGGAUAUUUUCAACUCUGGCGUUGGUAAAUAUUACGUAGCUAUAAAAUAAAUUAGAUCAAUAUUUUUUUAUUCUCGACUCUAGCACCAGUGAAUAAAUAAAUAAUAAUAAAUUUAUUUUUAUGCAUGCACAUAUUUUUUAUUUUUUAGCUAAAUAAAAUAAAAUACAACGAAUAAAAAUAAUAUAAAUUUAAACCGGUAUUUUUAUUCCUGACUCUGACGUCAGUGAAUAAACCAAUAAAUUUAAAUUAUUUUUAUUCAUCUAAAUAAAAUAAAAUACAACGAAUAAAAAUAAUAUAAAUUUAAACCGGUAUUUUUAUUCCUGACUCUGGCGUCAGUGAAUAAACCAAUAAAUUUAUAUUAUUUUUAUUCAUGCAAUCACAUUUUUUUAUUUAUUAUUUCUUUCUAUCUUUUUUAUUUUUCUGUUUUUUAUUUUUUUUGGGCUGGGCUGGGCUUGACCCAGUUGACUCAGUCGGGUCACUGGUCUAGACCAGUGACCCGGACGGAUGGCAGGCGUGCGCAACGCACGCCUGCCCAGUGAAUUAUAAUUCACUGCUACUGUAGCAGUGAAUUAAAAUGCAAAAGAAACGGGGCUUACCUCAAUGCAGGAACAGAGAUGAUAACUGAAGCGUGGUGGUCGUCUGUUCUCUUCUCCUCUGCUUUACUAUGCCUUUGAUUCUCGUUUUCCUUUGCUUUCUCUCCUGGUUCUGGAAACGCUGAAGGCAGUAGCAGCGAUCUCGUGACUUUCCUCUGCUCGUGUUCUUUCCUUCUGCUGUUUUUCUUUGUUUGCGUUUUGUCUCCUCUGUUUUGAGAUGAAGGAAACUAGACAAUGGUGAUGCCGGUUGUCAAUAGUCCUUGGUUCUUCGUUGUUCUUUUUAUGCAGGGAGGAAGACAAAUAUAGCAGGGCUGAUCUAUGACCCUCCUGUGCCUUUCUCUCCUUCUCGGUGUAAUCUCCGUUUAUUCUACUGCCCCUGCUUUCCCCUGGUUUUUUUCGUCUCUGUUUUGGGUUGAUGUUUUCGUUCUUCUCUGUAUUUUUUUUUGGGUUGUGUUUUGUGUGCUCUGCUUUUCUGGGUUGAUUGCUCUGUUUCUCUGGGUCUUUUUGGUUUUCUGGGUUUUAUUUUUCUUCCCCCCGUCGCUGUGUUUUUUUUCUCUGUUUCUCCUCCGAUUUUUUUCCUCUUUUUUGUUCUGGGUUUUCUUCUCCCUUUUAUAGAGAAACUUGCCCCUCAACCAGUCCUGCCUUUGCAGGACUGUUAUUCAAAUUACGAACGGGAUCAUGGGCAAGAGACGUGGUCCACGAUUUGCUGCAGAUUUCCUGUUGAAUCGGCUUCAUCCGCGCAAACGUAGGAGACGAUGAACAAUGCUUCCAAAACGGUGCCGUUGUGUCCUCGGGCAUGGCUGUUUUUCAAUUUAGUCCCUAAACAGUUUAAACUUAACAAUUGGGAUCCUAAUCAGAAACAAUUGAUUUCUAAUUGUGCCCUUGGAUUAAAUUCAAUUGAAUCCUUGAAUUAUAACACUGUUUACAAAACAGUCCUUAAUUUCCGGAUUGUUCAAUUUAGCCCUUAAUUAAAUCUUUAACUUUUAAUUUUUUCAAAAUUGAUCAAUUAACUCUCAAAUUACAUCCCCAAACUUCAAAUUUUGUUGUCUUAACCCCAUUGUCAACUAUAUUUAAAUUUUUAUUAUUAUUUGUUCAAAAAUUGGGUUAUGACAACCGACAUAAACUUUCCAUUGAUAAAUGUCACUGUAAUAUACCGACGAAAUAAAUUUUGUUGGUAUUGUCGUUUGUAUUUGCUAAAUUUCUAAUAGUGAAAUAAAUAUUAUGAUGUUUGUUUGAGACUGUGAUAACUUCAUGGAAAGUAAAUUGAGAUAAAUUAUUAUAAUUAAUUCAAAAUUAACAAAAUAUUGAAUGAUGAAAUGGAAAAAAAAUAGCAUUUAAUUAAAAAAAAUUAAAAAGAAAAAGAAGAAGAAGAAAGGGCCACCUCCUUCAUUGUUCAUGGAGGUGGGGAAAUCCAAAGUUUUUUAAUAUAAUAAUUUGAUAUUAUUAUUUGAGAUAGAACUUCUUUUUUGGAACAAUAUAAUAUAGUAUUUUUAAUUUGAUCAUCACAUAAUUGAUAUUUUAAUCUUUUCGAGUAAAUUGUUUCAUGAAAAAAGUUUUUAACCAAUAAUUCAUAUGUUACACCAUGGAUAGGUUAGCGAAUUCCACACUCCUCGAUGAGUCAAACUUACUGAGUUGUUCUCAAGCUUCAAUCCCACAACAUUUUCGAUGAUUCCAUAAUGGCAUUAAAGAAUUAAAUAUUCCUUGACUAUCCAAUAACUCUCAUCCCAAGGUUUACAGUUAUCUUCCCCACUUGCACAACUUUAAUUACUUUACACAGAGAAAUAAGCUACAACAUCAAUUUUAAAAUACAAACUAGACAUCAAUAAAAAAAAAUAAAAAUUCCUAGAGUCUCUAUUAUGAACCGAAAGUAGUUUCAAUGCGUGUUACAAUAAUAAAACGAUACUUUUACCCCAUACAUUUACUUUAAUAUCCUUAUAACUAGGGGUAUUUUAAGUAAUUUCCAUAUAAAUUUUCCAAAAAUAUCAUUUAGAAAAAUAAAAUUUAAGGUAUCUAUAAAUAAAAAAUAUAGCCACCACAUCAAAGACAAUUAUAUAAGCAAAAAAAACAAAAAGAAAAGAAAAAAGGAGAGAUGAAAGACCAAGCAUAAAUACUUGGAAGUUAUCUCAAAGAAAUUCAAGUCCAUCAAGGAAGCAAAAUAUUAAAGUCAUUUCCUUCAUCAAAUCAAAUUAAGAAAACAAAAUAUUAAAGUCUUUUCCUUUGUAAAAUCAAAUCAAGUAACAUAUUAUAUGGUUAAAACUUUCGUGCUAGUGUGAAUACUCUUCAUCUUCAUCAAAACUAAUUAAGAUUUCACAUAAUUAAAGCUUUUGGACUCGUGUGAAUAUCUUUCCAUCCAAAACAAGAUCCAAAUAUGACAAUUAAUUAGAUGAUUCAUAUACGUGAAGAGCAAGAUCCCACUUUGUUUAAUUGAAAUUUUUUUAAUUUUUUAUUUGCUUCAAAUUAAUAUUUUUUUGGUGUUUUUAUAUUGUUUUGAUGUGCUAAUGUUAAAAAUGAUUUUUUUAAAAAAAAUAAAAUAUUAUUUUAAUAUAAAUUAAGAAAACAAAAUAUUAAAGUCUUUUCCUUUGUAAAAUCAAAUCAAGUAACAUAUUAUAUGGUUAAAACUUUCGUGCUAGUGUGAAUACUCUUCAUCUUCAUCAAAACUAAUUAAGAUUUCACAUAAUUAAAACUUAUAGAUAAACUUCAAUCUGUCUUCAGAUAAUAUAUUAUUUUAGAUAAAAUAAUAAAACCAAAACUAAGCUUCCAGUACAAAUUAAUAUUUUUUGUACACGAUCCAAAUCAAAUUAAUAAAACUAUGCUUCCAGUACAAAUUAAUCUCUUCACGUAAAAGAUCCAAAUAUGACCAUUAAAGAUAUGAUUCAUGUACGUUUCCUAAAAUCAAAUAGCCAAACCUAUCCCAUAAAAUAAAAUAAAGAAACUUACCUUUUUGUUUAAAUGCAAUAACCUUAUUUACAGAAAUUUAAAUCCCAAUUUCAAUACAAUAUUAACUGUCAAUUAUUGUAUAAAGACUACUAAAUUCUUUUAAACUUCUUGAUUGAUUUGAACAUACACCAAUUUUCACUUCCAUGGAUCACUAAGAAGGAUUAAAGAAAACAUGAUCAUAUCCUAAAAACACCUCUUAUAACUCCCAAGAUUAUGUCUGCCACAUCUUGUCCAAAUUGAAUAGGCAUGCUUGAGCUCAAAUCCAUCUCAACUGCUCUACUCUUUAUCAUUCGAUCUCUUUUCUCCAGUUGAUCCCUCUCAUUUUCCUCAAUAGUAGCCGUUCCUCCUUUACAAACACAACUAUCCAUCCAUAGUUCAAGAACCUCAUUAGCUAUGGGAUCAAUAUUGUCGCGAAUAAUUUCUUCAGCACGCUCCGUCGUUCCACCGUCCUCACAUGUUAUGCUAACCAAAAUCCCUGUGGGAGAAACAACAUUUCGAAAGUAGAGGGAAGACGAGAAGUAGGGUUUGGCUUCAAGGACUUGUGUGUCAAGUUGUUUCCUAAGUGCUUCGAGUUGAGAAUCUUCAUAAAAAGUGUUGAGGUAAUCUGGGUGGAGGACGAUGUCUUUCCUUGGAAUUAAAUCAAGAAAGAAGAUGAAGUAUGUUGGGCUGCAUUGGACCAGCUCGAAUUGAAAAUGUGGUGUAUCUGUUGAGGAUUUGAGAUAGCCUUUAAUGUUAGUGAUGUUCAUUGCUCCUCCGUUUGGUAAGGACAAGUGUAGCCAACUCGACAAUAUGAAAUCAAUCUGGUUUCAUAAAAAAAAAAUUAAUCAUUAGUUUUUUUAAUAUUAUAUAAUUAUUAUAUUUCCUUUUAUUUAUACCCCAUCGGAUCAGAAUAGGUCAGGUUUCAAUUGAUUUAAGUUAAACCGGUUGAAUGAUAUCAAAUUCUAGAGGGAGGGGAGGGUUUUUUCUUUUCUUUUUUUCGUUUUUAAUAUUAUGGUUGUUAUACUUUUUAAUGGUUACUUUCCCUAGCAGUUUAUGUAUAGAUUGCCAGCAAAGUCAAUUACAAGAUACUGAGCGAUAUACACCUAUAUAUAAUUCAGGCAACUUAAUAGAGGAGCACAUCCUAUGUGUAAAAAUUAUCAUAUUCAUACUCCUAUAUAUAAUAUAAUUCAUCCAAAAAAAAUAUCGUAAUUGCUGGUAGUUUUUUUUUCAAAUUGUUAAUAUUUGUCCCCGUUUAAUCUGUAGGAAGAUCAAAAAAAGUUAUUUCUUAGAAAACCAUAUACGCUUCAAGUAAGUGUGUGUGAGAGAGAGAGAGAGAGAGUACAGGAGAGGAAUCGACUCCACGGUUGAUGCAAAGAGAACCUUGAGAAGCACCGCUCUGGUUCUGAUAGUAUUCAGCAUCAGGAGGGACUGAGGCGAAGGAGAUGACCAUGAAGGCGUUUAUCCACGGCUGAGAUUAGACCCACCAUUAAAUCUUUGUGAGGAGCCAAGAGAUGAGGAAACUCCAUUAACCUCUGCCCUCUCAUCGGCUCUUCCAUCUCAAAUGGUGUGGUCGAUAAGGCAAGUAUUGAGUUUCUGAUCUUUCUGGUGGAUAUUUUCUUCAAUGGUAGAGCUGAGAAUGAAUUUAGAUAAACAUGUUGAUGUGGGCAAAGCGGGAGGGUCAUUGUUUCUCUCGUACUAUGCCCUUCAAGCAACGUAAAGUCUACGUUGGAAUAAGAUCCACAUAAAAUAUUAUUCUUCCAUCAACAACAGAAUUUGUCAGCUCGUCGAAGACAAAUAUUAUUCUUCCAUCAACAACAGCCACAGAAAAUGAGUCACUUUCAACUAUUUUGCGAAUUUCAAACUUGAACAUUGACUAUAAUGGGCUGAUUAACUCAGUCCACUGACUGCAAUGAUUUUAUGGAGUUGCUUGACAUUUCUUCAAGCUUAACUCAGUUCACCAUUGUCCUUUUCUUAUUCAAACGAAAAUGACAAAUCGGGCCUUUAAAUUGUUUUUAACAUUUUCAUUACCUCUAGCCCUUCAAAAGCAUUCAAGUGCAGUUUUCAAUGUCUUUUACUCUAUUAGUUUUUUGUAUGGAUCUAUCCACUCGAUAAGCAAUUUUCAGCCACUAGAAAUCAACCUACAACUCUGGCACUAAUGAAUAUUUCAUUCAUCUUAUUUUUCUUGAACAUUAAAGGGUAAGGUUGAACCACGACCGAUCAAAUCAUGUGAGAUUUUGAGUGAUUUUGGAUGAAAUGUGAGAAAAUGUAAGAGAAGAAGAAAAAAUCAUUAUUUUCUUCCUAUUGCGUUACAUUCUGUUCUACCAAAUGUACACUGCAAUUAAAAGAUGUUUUUUGCAGGUUGCAUCAAAGUUUCUGCAUGUGAAAUGGAGGUAAAACUAUACUAAAUUGCUAAUGCAUACCAUUCCUUUUUAUUUUUCUUCUGUAGAUCCAUAGCAUAAGGAUAAUAUUCAAUCUUGAUUCUCAAGCGGGAUCAACCUCAGAAGUCAGAUGUUAUAAACCUUUUGUAUGGCUCCUAAUACUCUAUCGGUGACUUCUGGACCAAACAAUCUUGGAAAGUUUGUGCCUAGAUCAAUCUCAAUAGUUUUUUUCUUUAUUAGCUCAUCUCGCUUCAUCAUAUAAGCCUUCUCUUCCUCUCCCACCAAUCUUUCUCCACGAGCGCAAUGAUCCAACCAAAUCCCUAAAACUUCCUGGGCAGUAGGAUCUAUGUGAUUUUUUACUAUCUCCUCCAUUCGUUCUGGUCCACCCGCUUGAGCUCCUAUUUGAAUCAUAACGACUGUAGGCGAGAGGACAGAACGGAGAUAAAGGGAUGAAGAGACGUAGGGUUGAACCUCAGGGAGUUUCGCAAGCAUCUGCCUAUGAGUGUCUAACUGGGUGUUCUCAUAGAAAGUUUGAAGAUAGUCUGGAGAAAGGACGGGGUCCUUCCGUGGAGGCAAGUCAAGAAUGAAGACCAGUGAUGUUGGACUACUCUGGAUUAGCUCAAUCAUGAAAUUUGGUGCAUCUGUUGAAGGGUUCAGAUAGGCAGAUAGGCUAGUUAUGUUCAAUGCUCCGCCGGUAGGUAGCUUACAGUGCAGCCAACUUCCCAAUAUGAAAUCCACCUGAAAAAUGUCCAGCUUUCAAUUAGAUUUUUUUCUAUAAAUUUUAAUACAAUUUUGAGAGGUUGAGAAACAAAAAUAACUAAAUCAGAUUGAUAACAAUAGUGCAAAUCCAGGCAAGUACUAUGAUUUGCAGCUUGUUUCAUUUGAAGCCAAUUACAAUAUAGGAUUCCAUGGGGCAUGAUGCCAUAACCAAAGAAAGACUAUACAUGAAAAGGCUGCAAAUUCAACUUCGACAUAAGACUUCAAUCCUCAUAACUAAGUAAGAAGGUUCAGUACUUAGCUGCUACAAAUAAAUUAUGUCUCAGUAAUUUUGAAAUUAGCAUUCGAUAAAGAAGCCAGGACUUUGAUUACACAAAAACUAAUGAAAGCAUACACAUGACUGCAUUAGCUUUUUGUUAUUGUAAUUUCCCAUAUUAUAUUUGUUGAAUAAUAAGUAUAAAGCCAUCCCUCUCCCGCAAAUUAGUUAAGGGUUAUUCCAGGUUCCUCAUGCAUUACUCAGUUACGGAAUCAAACCAAGCUUUUCAUGCGAUUCCAAGACCUAGUACAGCAAACUGAACCAAAAUCUGAUAAGCACUAUACCAGCUAUACAAAGCAUUAACAGACAUAUUAUUAUGUGAUCCAACUGAGUGCAAAACUGUCCCCAAUUAAGAGGGAAAUAGCCCAAUUCUAAAUUUUUUCUUGUGGGAUGCAUGCCAAAACUGCUAGUUUCCAAGAAAUUAGCCAAGCACAAUAUAUAGGGUCCAUCAAAAUGUAAGAUGGAAACUAAUCUACAAAGCAAACACAGAUUAAGCAUAUCUAAAUGGAUUAAUUAAUUAAGUCUGAUUGCAGCUACCAAGACAAUCUACCUUCUAAAUAAUUAGCGUUGAUAAAUACUAAUCGGUAAGACUACUAGUCAUAGCAACAAGCACUGGCUUAGAACUUUAGAAUUAUCGGUGGCGCAUGAGCAAAUAACAAAUAAAACAACGAACCAAUUCAAAGUUUCAAACUGUGCUACAAGAAGUGAGAUGGAGGAAAUUACCUGGGAAGACUGAAGACCUGAUCUGAUAUGAAGUGAAGCUUGGGCGCUCCCACUUUCGUUCUGGCAGUGUUGUACGUCAAGGGGAAGUGUACAAGGGAGGAGGUGUGAGCCAAGUCGAUCCUCCACCGUUGAUAAGAGAUUAACCAUGAGAUCCCUGUGUGGGGCAGAGACAAAUGGGAAUUCUAUGAAUUUCUGACGUCCCUGGUUGUGGAGAUCCAUUUGGGACGCAGAUGAAGAUGAGGAGGAGGAGGAGGAGAGUGAUGCAGUGGCUGAGAUUUUUGUUCUUGAGGAUUUGAGGGGAGGAGGAGAUGGUAACGAGUGUGGUAAGUGUAAAAUUGGAGAGAAGCUGACAGCCAUUGGUUUAGAUUUUGGAUUUACAAAUUUGAAUCACUAAUAUUUUGGUUAACUGCUUUAGUUCCCAACUUGUCAUGACAAGGAAAUCUCUACAAUGUUUUUAUUAUUAUUAUUAUUCUAUUUUCUUAAAACGUUUGAUGACCAGAAAAUCAUGAUCCAAAUUUUAAAAUCCUUAAACCUAAAUUUUAAUUUUUUUUAACCUAAAAACACAUUAGAUAGAUCUCUAAAACCCUAUUUCUAACCAUAAAACACAUUUUAAUUAACAUAAAAACUCAAAAUUAAAUCAAAUUAAAAAAAUUAGUGUGCUCUUAUUUAUUUUUUUGAACAUUGUUAAAGGUAGAAACAACAUUCAUUGAAUUGUUCUUUAAAGAUAAAUCUAUAGACACCAACACUAUAGUUAUUAGCGGCUAAAAAUUGGUUACUGAAAAGUUUUCUCUCUCCUCUGUUUUUUCUAAUGAAUUUCUCUCUUUUAACAAUAGUCAAGAAUUAAAAUGCAAAACAAAUAAAGUUUAAUGACUAAAAUAUAAAAGUUAAAAAGAAAAAGGAUCAAAUAUGCAAAUUGUGAAACUUACAUGAUCAAAUUGAAGUUUUUCACACUUUUUGAAAAUAGAAAAAGGUUCUAUUCUUGAAAUUUGAAUUUUAGUUUUUUUUCUUUCAACUUUUCUUUUAAGAAAAACCUAAAAAUCAAUUUCAUAAAUAUCUUUAAUUUAACCUAAGAAUAUCAAAUGCCAUAUUAGGUAUGCAAAGCAUACUAAUCAAAAUAAAUCCCAAAAUAUAAAAUCAUUAUAUUAGAACUUGUAAGGAUGAAAUUAAAAAGAAAUUAAGUUCAAUAAUUAAAGUAUAAAAAAUAAAAAAUUCAAGGACUUAGAAAGGAAAAAUUGGAUGUGAACAAUAUCAUCAACAAAAUGUAAGAGAGUGCAAAAUAGAAUAAUAAUUAAAAACCCAAAUCUUUUAGUUUAUAUUACAAUGUCAUUAAAAUUAUCUAUUUUUUAAAUACGAUAAACAAUACAUUUAAUAAAAAUUUUGUGUUAAUUUUUGUGAAUAAUUUUAAAAUCAUAAAAUACAUUUGUCUCUCUAAAACAUAUUAUAUUAUGCUUCCUUAAUUUUAUUCACUAACACACUGGUCUUUAAUGCUAUAAUAUUGAUUUGGAUAAAAUUAAUAUAUUGAGUUGCUAAUUGUCACACACACAUAAGUGAGACAAAUACAUCACCACCAUCAACUAACUUCUCACCAUAUGAUAUUUAGUAAGUAAAUUCAAAUAAUUAUGAACAAUAUAUAUUAAUGAAUUCUAUUUUUAUUAGUUAUUUCACAUGCACUAUACUACAUGUGGUAUCAACAUUAUGGAUGCUUUUUAUGGUAUCAUGAAUUAUUGUUUUUAAUUGAGAAAUGGAAAGAUAGUGUGUCCACUUAAUAAAAUAAAUUAAAACAAUAAAAUAAAUUAAAAAAAUAUUUUUUAACACUAAUUAAAUACUAAAGUAGAAACUUAAUUUUACUAAUAAAAGCAAAAGAUAGAUUCACUUGUAAAUAUUUUACAUCGAUUAUUCUUUUAUUUAUACAUUUCCUAAAAUCAAAUAGGCAAACAUAUCCCAUAAAAUAAAAUAAAGAAACCUACCUUUUUGUUUUAAUACAAUAACCUUAUUUAUAGAAAUUUAAAUCCCAAAUUCAAUACAAUAUUAACUGUCAAUUAUUGUAUAAAGACUUCUGAAUUCUUUUAAACUUCUUGAUUGAUUUGAACAUACACCAAUUUUAACUUCCAUGGAUCACUAAGAAGAAGUAAAGAAAACAUGAUUAUAUCCUAAAAACACCUCUUAUAAUUCCCAAGAUUAUGUCUGCGCAUGCUUGAGCUAAAAUCCAUCUCAAUUGCUCUACUCUUUAUGAUUGGAUCCCUUUUCUCCAGUUUGGAAUAAAACGUGUGGUUGUGUUUUAAAAAUGUUUUUGAAAAAAAUUAAAAUUUUUUAUUUUUUUUCUUUACUUCAAAUAAAUAUUUUUUUGUGUUUUCUAAUCAUUUUAAUGUGCUGAUGUUAAAAAUAAUUUUUUUAAAUAAAAAAAUAUUCUUUUGAUGCAUUUCUGAGUAAAAAACACUUGAAAAAACAACCGCUAUUAUACUCCCAAAUACCCUCUAAAAAUGAUCAAGCAAUGUAUAUAGAUGAUCACAUACAAAUUGACAUUACAUUUCUUCUAAUAGAUGUAACCUUAUUUGAAAGGGGAAAAAAAAACAAGAAAAACAAUCUCCUGGGUUGAUAUGAUUUGGCCCAAUGUUGUUCUUUAGUCAUGUGUUGGUAUUGCCCUAAAUGAUUGAUGACAUGGUGAUUAAAGAGGUUCGCUCAUAUUCUUUAUUUUUAAUAUUCAAGUAUUGAGGCUAUAAUUUAUUUUUUUUAUUAAACGCAUUUACAUACACCGUAUUGAUAUGAGAAAUGUAUCUCUUAACUGAGAAUCUAUAAAAAAAAAAAAUGUAUUGAAGUAGCUAAGAGCAUCUUUAAUGACAAAAACCAUUUAGAAAAACUAAAUUGAAUAGGCAUGCUUGAGCUUAAAUCCACCUAGUCAGGACUCUUGGCAUGGAACAGAACUUCACUCAAGUUCUAUUAUUCGUAUGUCGUCCUCUUAGGAGUGUUUUAAAAAUAUAAUAAUUGUUAUUUUUCAAAGUAUUUUUUAUAAGAAAUUGAAUCAAAUUAAUAUUUUUUUAUUUUUUUAAAAUCAUUUUAACACCAACACAUUAAAAUAAUUUAAAAAAAUCAAAAAACAUUAAUUUGAAAUAAAAAAAAUAAAAAAAUUUUAAUUUUUUAAAAAAUACUUUUAAAACACAAAAUUAAGCAGCUCAUCCUCUUGAACUCGCCGAAACUCACUUCUCCAUCAUCUGUGUGCAUUAUAAGCCAUCAAAUACACAGGAAGAAAAAUAUGAGCAUGUAAUUAAAACCAGUACCUCGCAAUUUAUAAAAUUAACUUGGGUAAAGAAUUGUUUGAAAGUUCCAUAUCCUAAUUUUACACUGCUAUGUGAUAAGACAAGUUAACUUUGACAUCUUUUGGUGUCAGUUUACAAUUUCAAAAACUAGCAGCCUUGGACAUGAAUACCUUAGGACACAUAUUAAAAAGUAGUUCUAAGACAAUUUCAUGCCAAUUUAUUGUCGAACAAACCACUCAUUACAUGAUGAUGAAUUCUCGUUAGUUCGUGACAUAACUUUUUGAUUUCUACUUUUAGUUUUUUACUUUGAAAACAAGACAUUUCAUAAGUUCCACGAGCACAAUUCUACUCCUUUAUUUCACAACAGGUUCAUAAUUUAACUUCCAAAUCUAAUAUGUAAGCAAUGACAACAGGUUAAAUUACAAUCUCGGUGAGCUUCCUCAACCAUCUCUUUGAUCUCUGUAGGAGAAACUUUCACCAAGCUCCUUGGCUAUUCGCUUGAAGUCAUCUACAGAGUUUUUUCCCUGAAACAAAAUAUAUUAAAUAAUAAUUCAUCAACAUGAGAAAGGCCUCGUUCUAUUCCUUGCCUUUUUCAGUAGACAUUGCUAAAAGCACUUAUAUUUAGACAAUUCCCAUUAUACAAAAAAAUGUAUUUUUGUUGGGGCAUCAACUCCCUCAUUGUUAAGAGUAUAAAGAAGGGUUUUGAUCUCCCAUGAACAAGAACCAUCUUAAACUAUUAUUGAAGCAGUGUAGCUGAUACAAUCCAAUCCACGGGAUUCGCAUCAGUAGCCCUAUUUUUCAAGAAGUUUAUACUUAAAAAUCAUUGUAUAUAAAGAAUUACCUAGCUGCCAACUCAAAAGCAAUAUCCUUUUCAAAAACAAGUGAAACUAUUUUAAGAGAUCGUUGAUUGCAUUCACUUCAAACCAAUAGGCAUAAAAGGGCCUAUUGAUAUGUGUGUAAAUAUGGAAAACCAAUUCAAUCUAGAGAUGAUAAAACUCUAUUAUGCUGUUUUGGGAAAACCAGAAUUGCAAAAUGCGCACAAAUACUAAAACUUUCACCCAUACAUCCACAAGAAAAAUGGCAUUGUAAAACACAGUAGAUAAAAGAAAAGCUCAAUGCAUGUACAUAAUAAGGCACAAAAGGUAGCUCUUCUGUCAUCUCGAAACCAAAUGCCCUGUUAUUAGACAUUUUUUUGUUACAAUUGUUUUGGGACAAAAAAAAAACUCAUCAAAUCUGCUAAUGUCAAAAAUAAUUUUUUAAAAAACAAAAACUUUAUUUUAAUAUAUUUUUAAACAAAAAAACAUGUUAAAAAUUACUUGUUAUCACAAUACCAAACAUGUUCUAAUCAUUCUGAUUCCUUCUGAUCCUUCAAGGUAGGUAUGGAAAUAUCUAUAAAUGGUGUAAGGUUUAAGUCGUGAAUUGAGAGGUUAACUUAUAGAUCAACUUGAAUCUAUCUUCAAAAGUUAUUAUUUUAGAUAAAAUAAUUAAAAAAACUAAAACCAUGCUUCAGUACAAAUUAAUCUCUUCACGUACAAGAUCCUCAUUAAUGAUAUGAUUUAUGUACGUUUUCUAAAAUCAAAUAGCCAAACCUAUCCCAUAAAAUAAAAUAAAGAAACUUACCUUUUUGUUUAAAUGCAAUAACCUUAUUUACAGAAAUUUAAAUCCCAAUUUCAAUACAAUAUUAACUGUCAAUUAUUGUAUAAAGACUACUGAAUUCUUUUAAACUUCUUGAUUGAUUUGAACAUACACCAAUUUUCACUUCCAUGGAUCACUAAGAAGGAUUGAAGAAAACAUGAUCAUAUCCUAAAAACACCUCUUAUAACUCCCAAGAUUCUGUCUGCCACAUCUUGUCCAAAUUGAAUAGGCAUGCUUGAGCUCAAAUCCAUCUCAACUGCUCUACUCUUUAUCAUUCGAUCUCUUUUCUCCAGAUGAUCCCUCUCAUUUUCCUCAAUAAUAGUCGUUCCUCCUUUACAAACACAACUAUCCAUCCAUAGUUCAAGAACCUCAUUAGCUAUGGGAUCAAUAUUGUCGCGAAUAAUUUCUUCAGCACGCUCCGUCGUUCCACCGUCCUCACAUGUUAUGCUAACCAAAAUCCCUGUGGGAGAAACAACAUUUCGAAAGUAGAGGGAAGAUGAGAAGUAGGGUUUGGCUUCAAGGACUUGUGUGUCAAGUUGUUUCCUAAGUGCUUCAA